ACAGUGGCGGACGGGUGAGUAAAGUCUGGGAAACUGCCUGAUGGAGGGGGAUAACUACUGGAAACGGUAGCUAAUACCGCAUAACGUCGCAAGACCAAAGAGGGGGACCUUCGGGCCUCUUGCCAUCGGAUGUGCCCAGAUGGGAUUAGCUAGAAGGUGGGGUAACGGCUCACCUAGGCGACGAUCCCUAGCUGGUCUGAGAGGAUGACCAGGCACACUGGAACUGAGACACGGUCCAGACUCCUACGGGAGGCAGCAGUGGGGAAUAUUGCACAAUGGGCGCAAGCCUGAUGCAGCCAUGCCGCGUGUAUGAAGAANGCCUUCGGGUUGUAAAGUAGUUUCAGCGAGGAGGAAGCGGAUGAGUUAUAACCUCAGCAAUUGACGUUACCCGCAAAAGAAGCACCGGCUAACUCCGUGCCAGCAGCCGCGGUAAUACGGAGGGUGCAAGCGUUAAUCGGAAUUACUGGGCGUAAAGCGCAC
rnacentral:rRNA from 1 species